rnacentral:rRNA from 1 species
GUAGUCAUAUGCUUGUCUCAAAGAUUAAGCCAUGCAUGUCUAAGUAUAAGCAAUCUAUACAGUGAAACUGCGAAUGGCUCAUUAAAUCAGUUAUCGUUUAUUUGAUAGUACCUUACUACUUGGAUAACCGUGGUAAUUCUAGAGCUAAUACAUGCUAAAAACCCCGACUUCGGAAGGGGUGUAUUUAUUAGAUAAAAAACCAAUGCUCUUCGGGGCUCCUUGGUGAUUCAUGAUAACUUAACGAAUCGCAUGGCCUUGUGCCGGCGAUGGUUCAUUCAAAUUUCUGCCCUAUCAACUUUCGAUGGUAGGAUAGUGGCCUACCAUGGUUUCAACGGGUAACGGGGAAUA